UCGGGGUACGUGUGGAUUCGCGAAGUUC
rnacentral:sRNA from 1 species